UACGAGGGGGGCAAGCGUUGUUCGGAAUUAUUGGGCGUAAAGGGUGCGUAGGCGGUUUGGUAAGUCUUAUGUGAAAUCUACAGGCUCAACCUUGGUAGUCUGCAUGAGAAACUGCCGGGCUUGAGUAUGGGAGAGGUGAGUGGAAUUCCUGGUGUAGCGGUGAAAUGCGUAGAUAUCAGGAGGAACACCUGUGGCGAAAGCGGCUCACUGGACCAUAACUGACGCUGAUGCACGAAAGCUAGGGGAGCAAACAGGAUAGAA
rnacentral:rRNA from 1 species